GACGAACGCUGGCGGCGUGCUUAACACAUGCAAGUCGAACGGAAAGGCCCUGCUUUUGUGGGGUGCUCGAGUGGCGAACGGGUGAGUAACACGUGAGUAACCUGCCCUUGACUUUGGGAUAACUUCAGGAAACUGGGGCUAAUACCGGAUAGGAGCUCCUGCUGCAUGGUGGGGGUUGGAAAGUUUCGGCGGUUGGGGAUGGACUCGCGGCUUAUCAGCUUGUUGGCGGGGUAGCGGCUUACCAAGGCUUUGACGGGUAGCCGGCCUGAGAGGGUGACCGGCCACAUUGGGACUGAGAUACGGCCCAGACUCCUACGGGAGGCAGCAGUGGGGAAUAUUGCACAAUGGGCGGAAGCCUGAUGCAGCAACGCCGCGUGCGGGAUGACGGCCUUCGGGUUGUAAACCGCUUUCGCCUGUGACGAAGCGUGAGUGACGGUAAUGGGUAAAGAAGCACCGGCUAACUACGUG
rnacentral:rRNA from 1 species